UACGUAGGGGGCAAGCGUUGUCCGGAUUUAUUGGGCGUAAAGAGCGUGUAGGCGGCUUUACAGGUCCGUUGUGAAAACUCGAGGCUCAACCUCGAGACGCCGGUGGAAACCGUAAAGCUAGAGUCCGGAAGAGGAGACUGGAAUUCCUGGUGUAGCGGUGAAAUGCGCAGAUAUCAGGAGGAACACCGGUGGCGAAGGCGGGUCUCUGGGCCGAUACUGACGCUGAGGAGCGGAAGCGUGGGGAGCGAACAGG
rnacentral:rRNA from 1 species